rnacentral:lncRNA from 1 species
GUUAGUUCACCUCUUAGGUUUUUCAAGAAAACUGAUUUCCUUAUAUCUAAUAAUUUUUGAAUCCCACUCAAUCUAUUCAAUAUUUUUUCUUACGAUAGAAAACGUUAACAAAAACCUUUUUGUUCCAACAUUGAACUUUCUCCACAAGUAGCUAAAUAAUGUUUUGAAGAGAACCAUUAAACUUCCAAGUCGACUUGACAAACUUAGGGAACUUCGGAUGGGUUAAGUAAGUUGCUAGAUACUUAAAAGACACUUGGCUGGUUGAAUUGGUUUUGUCAUCAAGGCUUAGUAGGAUAGGGCAAUGGUUAGAUUGUAUUCGAGGCAAGUGUCACUAAAGCUUCAGGAAAAGUGAGAUAUCCAUCUAUGUUACAUAAAUACUUGUCUAGAUGCUCAUGGACAAAACCCUUUUUCUAGGUAAAAUUUAGGACUUGAAAUCCCAUAUCUAUAAUUGCACUGGUGCUAAUAAAGUUCUAAAAUAAUCUACAGAGUUUGCUACCUAUGGUUGCACCCCCCCAAUCGUUUCAUGAGAAAAAAGAAAUGAAUUGAAAUCACCUCCAAUAACCCAAAGACCCAUAGCUGUGUUUGUUAUUUCUUGAAGAUCUUCCCAAAUUGCACAACUAGCAUUUGAGGUAGAAUGUCCAUAGAUGGCCAUAAAAAAAACAUUGAUAAUUGUUCUAUAAUUCUAGCAUGUAGUGUACAAAUUGAUCGUUGUUCAAUAAAACCUUAAAUAAAAUUUGAUGAUUUCGCAUGACCCAAAUUCCACCUAAAAACCCAUUAGCUUCAAUUUGAAGUGAGAAAUCAAAUCCAAUUUUUGGAUAAUAUCAUUUGCUAUAGCUCCACUAAUUCAUGGUUCAACUACCACCAAUAAUAAAGGCUCAAACUGUCUAUGGAAAUCUUUAACCACAUUUAAAAAUGCAUUACUCGCUACUUGGUAGUUCCAUACCAAAAAAUUCAUAACCAUAGCUAUUGAAUGCAUUGGUAGUGAUUCAAAUGAUUUAGGAGAAGAGUAGGGGGUCCCAUGAUAUACGCUAUUUACUAGCUUCUAUUUAGAGGUGUUUGAAUCAAGUUUCUUAUAGAAUUUUGCAUAUUCACUGUGAGGGUAAUCAAGCUGCAGACUAUUUAUCUAAUCGUGGUUAUUCACAUCCAAAUUUGCAUGUAUUCUCUCAAGCACAUGGUGAACUAUGAGGUACGUUAAGAUUAGACAAGCUUAAUCUAUCCUGUGUUAUGAUCAAAUAAAUGUAAAAGAGUAGUACUCUUAAUUUAUUUUUUCUUUAUUUUUAUAAAUUCAUGUAAACCAAUGUUAUUGCUAAUCCUUUGCAUGUAUGAAAAUGCAAGGCAAGUAUUACCUUGGAUAGGUUUACUGUUUUCGAUAUCUCAUGUAAUUUUGGAGGUAAGUUUUUUGUCCCUUUCAUUAUGUACUUUAUUUUAUUAAUUAAUAAAAUUUUAACAGAGUAGUUGAGCUUAGCAAGAAUUUCCAAUUAAAAAAAAAUCAUAACCAUAGCUAUACUCAAAGGAAAAUAACUAAACAUCGAAGAUCAAUCCUUUUAGUUGUUAGCAAAAACCAUACUUGUAUGGGACAUUGCCAUGAAUUCCAUUUUCUCUGUCUCAUCAAUCACAUCAUUGCUAUAUUUACUAUUAAGCAACUUCAUUGAACUAACGGUAAUACCAUAUUGGUUAUUAUCUAUUCCUUGAACCCUUUUCUUUAGCAAACCCUUUUCAAUGUCAGUUGUUAAAAAUUUUUUAUUUGGUGGUUUACCACCAUGACCAAUAACUACUCUUUUUACCGCCGCCAUGUGAUGAUUGAAGAGCUUUAAGCCUAUGAGCUAAGGUCGAUUUGACAGGCGAGUGCACUUUUAGUUGAUUCAAUCACAACCACUUUAUAAUUCUUAAGGUUUAGAAAAGAUUAGGCAGGUAGUGAUUUGUCCAUGUUAAGGUCAAAGUUUCUGGAAACUUCUGAUAGUUGCAUGGGAAAUAUAUCUUCCACGUUGGCGAGGGCAUGUGACUUUAAAUUCUAGCCCAUAGGACAAUCAACAUUGGUUUGGCUUUGAGAUAUUAUCAUCUCUUUGGGUCUAACAACAGUGGGUUUUUCUUCCAGGGGUGCACCUAAGUCAAUCACAGCAUUUCAUUUAUCAUUCAUUUUUUAGGUUCUUGCUAACUUGUCACUUGAAGUUUUCUUGGGCAUGAACACCGGAUCACUCUUUUUCAAAGUCGAAAUAUCCAAAGACUAAAGGAUGGAUAGACUAGUCACCAUGAUUUCCUCUUGCAAAACUUUCAUCCUUAAAUUGGUCUCCUUUCCCUGUAGAAUCACAAAACGAGAUCCAUUGCCAUUACCAUUAACUUGAGCUCCUGGUAGUUUAGGGCCCUGUUUGGAAGUAGUAAUACCUUUUUUGUUUGAAAGAUAACAUUGUCUCACUUGGUCACCAUCAUUUAAAGACCGAAUGGAAACUCUUGUGGAACAAUCAUCUCAUUGCAUCUGGUUUCACUCUCACAAUAAGAAGUCAUGUUAUGGGGGUUUUAAGACAAAUCUCCUUUGUGCGACCAUAACAUCUGCAACCAAAGCAAAUCCAAGGGAGACUUUCAUGUUCUAUAUUUUGUUCACAACCAUUGAUGUUAAGAUUUUCGAAAUCAAAUGUUUUGUGAGAUCAAACUCCACCGCAAUACAUGCGAACUUACCAUGUUGCUUAGACUCAAUGUUAUCAUCUAUCUUUACCAAUUUCCUAGGACAUUUGCAAUAGACAUAAAAACCCUCUUAUGAUGAGAUGAAUUGGCAUCCUAGGAAAUCAUACCCAUGCCACAAUUGUGCUUAGAUUUUCUUCUUGUGUGGAAAACUUUGGAUUCCAAGGGAAAACUGUUAAGUAAUGACCUAGAAUUACCAAUGGCCCCCCCACCAAAGCAUGGAUGUAAUUCUAUUCAUCACAAAAAUUAAUCAUGAAGUCACCACUGUUGAGAUCUAUAAUCUCAUAUCUGCCCAUUGUACUCCAUAAGGUGCUUAAACGAGAGCACAGGAUGUUAAACCCUAUCGAACGACCAAACAGUUAACUGUUAUAAAUUUACACCAUGGUUUCUCUAUUACAAAUUGUAAUUUUUCAGAUUCGACUAGAUUCAAAACCUCAUUGACAAUUGUGACAAUUACGUAAGUGGGAUCGUCUUCCUCCGUAAAACUUCCAUCCUUGGACUUUUUUCGUGAUUUAUUUCUAGAAUUCCCUUUUAGUAAAUCUAUGCUAUUUUCUUGAUGAUAUCCUCUGAACUUUGAAUCAUCCUCAGCCAUAGCAUCUUCAUUUGAAUUAGACUCAACAUUUUUUUCAUUGCCAGAUUCAGAAUUAAAGUCAUCUUCAUCUUGUUUGCCCAACAAUGCCUUUUUAAAGAUGGAUUCGAGAGAACCUUCAUAGGAAGAUCUGAAUCUUCUUUGUCUAUAGGAGAUGGCAUUUUCUCUUUUUUUUUUCUCUUCUAGGGUUUCUUUUUCUUUUUUUGUUCUUUUUUAUUAAGAAUUUUAAUACACGUUCAUAUUAAUAUAAUUAAAUUUGUUAGUUGUAACUAGAUCUAUCCAUGGAUGGGGUUAUCUACCAAGUCCAACUUGAGCUGAGGCUUGAACAUGAAUUUUGAGGACUGGACCUCACUUGAUAAUAUAUCAUAUUAAUAAGAGGAAAUUGCAAGAAUUAACCUUCCUAAUAAGGUCACUUCAAAAAUGACCUUCACUAUAAUUUUAAUUGUUGUUAGACAAUUUUUGGCAUGACUUAACAAGAAUACCCUUUAAACCAUUUAAUCCAAAUUAAGUGGUUCCGAUUUCUUUCUCCUCUCCCGUCAUUCAGAUAAAAAUUUCAAAAUUAAAUCUCGAUUUAGCUAUCUCUUCGUUUAGCUCUCCAACGCCAUCAAGGUCUAUAUCUUGUCAUCUAGCUCUCAACGCCAUCGAGGUCUAUAUCGCCAUCCAACUUUCUCACCAUCCCAAAAUGAGGAGAUGACAUCAAGGUAUUUGUUAUGGGUUCUUGGGUUUAUUUUUUUAUAGAAUGUAAAAGUUGAUAGGUAAAUUUUAUGACUUUGGAAACUUAAAUCUGGUUAGGAGUAGCAAAAUCAAUCAAUUUAUAGGUGAUGUGUAAAUAUUUGUUAAGCAUUGUGUCACUCGAUAAUAGGGUGUGUGACUGGAUAUUAGGAAUUGUAACUUGUUUAUAUGGCAUUACGUGACUAAAUAUUAGAUAAUGUGGGACUAGAUAAGAGGCAUUGCGAGACUAGAUUUUAGGAAUUGCAUGAGUUGUGCAUUGCGUGACUAGCUUGUAGGCAUUGCGUGACUGGUUUUUAGUAAUUGCAUUACUUUAUCUACUUAAUGCUAAAGUUGAUUGUCUACUAAUUCAGCCCCCUUAAUAACAAAUUUUGUAAAAUUAUAAGAGAAUUAGGAAUGCUUAAUAACCAAUUCAGCCACCUUAAUUCCACUUAUAUUAGUGCAGAAAACUAUCCAAAUUUGACUGACAUUGAACUUUGAAAUUCUCUUUAAAGUACAUAAUGCAUUGAUUUACAAGCUAACCAUAUUCAUCAGAAAAUAAGCCUAAAACCAUUGAACACCCUUCUAAGAGUCAGCAUUCAUGCCUAUAAAUAAAGGAAACCGUUAUCCAUUUUAAUCAAAAUCAUCUAAAGGAAAAUCUAAAAAUUCUAAUAAUAUCCAAACAUUCCAAAGUCAAAAGUGGGAAGAGGGUUGCUGCUAAAGAGGAAGAUAUCCUCGACAAUGUUACAGCAUAUCUGGUCAAGUUGAUGGACCAAAUUGAUAACAUGGAGAAAGACAUGUGUGGGUUGAUGGAUAAGUUGCUAGUUAGGAUAGAAGACUUGGAUACCAAAAUUUUGGGCAAUAAUAAGAUUCUAGCUGAAAUUUAUGAAAUAGUAAAUGAGAUUAGGAAGAAAUGAACCGUGGUUCAUAUGUUGUAUCAGCUACUUUUUUUAGCUAAUGAAUAAAAAUAUUAAUUGAUCACAUAUUUUCCAUAAAAUGAGUUACUGCGUUUAAUUUCUAUUAUGCUCAAUAACUUGGUUACUUGCCCUAGUUUCUUAAUUUUCUAUUUACAUAAGAAAAGCAAAAGUUUGAUGACAAAAGUUUGAAUAUUAUUUUAUUUAUAAGCAUUAAGUGAAUGGAUAUUGUGCAUUGUGUGAAUGGAUAAUGUGCAUUGUUUGAAUGGAUAUUAGGCAUUGAGUGUCUGGUUGUUAUGUAUUUCGUGAAUGGUUCUUAUGUAUAGCAUGACGUAAGGCCAAUGCGUGACUGGGUAUUUUGGCAUAAUGUGAAUGGAUGUUAGGCAUUACGUGACUUAUUAUUAGGAAUUUUGAGAUUGGGUUAUAGGCAUUGCGUGAAUUGGGCAAUGCAUAUCUUGUGUUGAGACAUUACGGGACUGGUUUUAUGUAUUGCGUGAUGUUAGGCCAAUACGUAACUGGUUAUGUUGGCAUAACGUGAGUGGAUAUUAAGCAUUGAGUGACUUAUUAUUAGGUAUCAUGAGACUAGGUCAUAGGCGCUGUGUGAAUUGUGCAAUGCAUAUCUUGUGUUGAGACAUUGCGUGACUGGUUUUUAUGUAUUGCGUGACUUAUUGUUAUAUAUUGCAUGAUGUUAGGCCAGUACGUUACUGGUUAUGUUGGCAUAACAUUAGUGGAUAUUAGGCAUUGAGUGAAUUAUUAUCAGCUAUUGCAAGACUAGUUGUGCAUGACUUGUGCAAUUCAUCUCUUGUUUUGAGGCUUUUGUUCACUAGUUUUUAAGCAUUGCGUGAAUCUGUAUUAGACAUUGUGAGACUGACUUUACGUUAUUCCAUGACUUAGGCAUUGCGUAAGUGGUUUUUAUGCUGUGAGGGGCAAUUUUUGAUAAAUUGACUAAUUAUGACACUUAUUUUUUGUUAAAUUUCAACAGCUUGCCAAAUGUGAAGAUUAUGAUUGCAUACGGUGGUCGUUGGAUUGAUGACACUUACAAGGGUGGUGAGACAUGAGUGAGGGGUGUUGGGAGUGAUUUUUCAUUUUCGGGCCUAGUGAAGCUGUUUAAAGAGGUUGUUAGGGUCAAUUCACGUAAAAACGAAAUUGAGCUACAUGCAUUGCUCAGUCAUGUCGCAGGGAUUUCGCACACAAUUAUCAGGAAUGAUAAAGAUGUAGCAAGUAUUCUGCAAGAUGAAUGGGUAAAUGUUGUGUUUAUGAUAGUUAAAGCACGAAAUGAAAAGAUAUUCCUCAUGAACAUGGUAUCCAACAUAGUAAUACCUACAACAAAAUGUUAAUUAUUCUAACAUACCACACCAUGCAUUUCCUAACAAACAACUAUGGCAAUCUCGUUUGAUGUAUCCUCAUGAGUUUGAGCAGCCCGAUACACAUAUGAGGUGUCUGCAAAUGAUGUCUGCACAAUUUUGAUUGGAAUGUGCAUCGAAUGAAAUACUUGGUAGUUUGCAACAAACGCAACCGUGGCUCGAAAAUGCAGUGAGUCCAUUGUCAUUCACAAACGACAAUGUGAUGGUUGUGAAUGAUGGCAAUGCAAUUGAUUAGAUUGAAGAUGAUGUUGAAGAGGAUGACAUGGAAGAUUGGAAUGAUGAGUUGCAGGAUGACUGUGAAAAUGAUUACAUUGGCGAACAUGAUGACUAUUCAGAGGAUGACAGGGGUGAGCACAACAACAUUCCAGAUUGCAACCAUGCAGAUGAUAGUAUAAGACAUGACACAACUAUUGUGUUAGAAGAGGUUCAGUGUAAUGACUAUGCCACAACUGUUGAAUUAGAAGAUGUUGAGGCUGCCAAACCUAUUUACGACAACCCUAUCGCACUUGAGAAUGACAUUCAUUUGCUUGAUGACAGUGAUCAAGAAACGGUAAAUACAAGGGUAUCUCAUCAAUGGAUUAUUCCUAGGGUAGAUAUGAUAUCCUUCCAAAUAGUUGCGACUGAGGAAUCCAAUUCAAUUGAGGACCACUUAUAUCACGAAAAGUGUUUCCAUCAAAGGCCAAAUUGAAACGAGCUUUGAGCAUGUUGGCACUAAAAGAGCAUUUUGAGAUUAGAGUUAAAAAGUCAUGUCAUGCUCGUUUGGAGAUUGGUUGUAAGGAGAAGGCACGCAAAUUUGCUUUGCAUGCAACAAAGUUGCUUGAGGGAGAAUAUUGGCAAGUUCAAAUAUUACAGAAGGUACACACGUGUACUGUUGAUAGUUUACAGUGUGGGUACCAAACUGCAAGCGCGAGGUUAAUUGAUGAGCUUUUCUCCACCAGGCUGCAAGGAAACUAUGUAACCCCAUUGAGACCUAAAGAAAUAAUGGAAGAGAUGAAUCACAUGUGGGGAUUGCAAUGCCUAUAUGGUAAGGCCUGGUAAGCGAAGAAGUAUGUGGAGAGUCUUGUGUUUGGUCCCCCAAAAGAGUCAUGCCAACUCCUCACCUCGUAUUUCCAUAUGUUGGAACAUGAAAAUCCCGAUACUAUCACGGUUGUCGCUGCGGAUGGGGAACAACGACUCAAAUAUUGUUUUUGGACGUUUAGGUCAUGUAUCGGAGGGUUUAGUGCUGUAAUGCUACUUGUAGUUGCUAUCAAUGCCAUACAUCUGAAAGGCAGAUUCAAAGGUAUUUUGUUUGUUAUGGUAUGCUAAGAUUCGAAUAAGCAGAUAUAUCCAGUUGAAUUUGGCAUUAGCCACGUGGAGGACAAAGAGUCUUGGUCGUGGUUUCUUACCCAAUUGCGUAGUGUGGUUGGUUGUCUUGAAAAAGCAAUGUUCAUUUCUGAUCAGCAUCUUGGCAUUAAGAAUGCAGUUGAGAAAAUGUACAAUGACGCGCGUCACAGUCUAUGCAAUUACGUUAAAAACAAGUUCAAGCGCGAAGAUGUUGCCACGAUUUUCACCUUGGCUGCCAACUACGAUAAGCUCACCAAUUUUAACAAACAUAUGAAUCAGUUGAAAUAGCUUUGCAAACCUACGUACGACCGCCUUAUGAUAUUAAGCCUUGAGAGAUGGGCACUGAUAAUUCUAUUUUAUAGAAUUAUUUUACUCCAAUUUUGUUAUUAAAUAUUAGCUAAGUCCUCAAAUUUCAAUUAUAAUUUAGUUAUUUCUAGUUGUUUUUAUAAUUAGUUUAUUUUUUUAGUAAGUUAUUUUAAUUUUAUGUUAUUCCUUUUUAUUUGGUUAUUAUUUAUUAGUUUUUAUAUUUUUUGAAGGAUUAAAAGUGAUUGGGCUUAAUUUUGGAAAGUAAAGUGUUGAAAGACCCAGAAUCUGCUUGCAUAUGCUUCAGUAUUUUAGCCAUAUCUCGAGAUACAGAACUCCAAAUGAUGCGAUUCUUAGACUAUUAGAAGGAUAAGAGACAGAGCUAUAACUUUUAUGCAGAUCACUUUGCCCAGUUCUGCCUCAAAGAUAGAGAAAAUCACGUCAGAAAAUGGCUGAAUGUACUGUGCCGGGAAUGGAAAUUUGUAAAGAAUGACAAUUGAUUUUUGAGCCUCUUAUUACACUUUUAAGCCAAUUAAACCCUAGCUCAACUUAUGGAACUUUAGGUUAAGCUUAUUAGUAUACAUAGGAUAUGUUUAACAACAUUGGAGAGAGAACCUUUAAAGAUUUAAGAAGCUAGAAGUUGAGGCUGAAACUUGGAGAUCAAGGCGGCAAAUAUUGAUUUGUUUUCUUCAUUGGCUUUAAUUGUUCUUGUUACUUUCAAUGGUUGAAUUUUAUACACUGUUAUUUUAUUUUGCAAUUAUGAGUAGCUAAUUUUCUUUUUCUAGGAUUGCAAUUCAACUCACAUGUAAUCUAAGUUUUUAAUCUCUUACUUAUUUUGAACCAGAUUUGAAUUGUUUAUUCCAAUUUGUUCUUAAUGCUUUUAAUUGUUUGGCCACCAAUUAAAUUGAUUUAGGAACCUAAACAAACUUGGGAAAGGGAGUUUAGUGUAGACUAAAAUUGGGAUAGCAUAUGAUCAUAUUAAUUGAUUUGCGUAUAGGAUAUGGAUAUACCUAUCGGCCAUAUGUAACCAGAUUAGAGCAUGAACUUAAUGAAUCUAUUUUAAUUUCAAUCCACAUAGGAAUAUAGUGUCUUGGUUAAAAUAGAUAAUUUUAUAAGAUGAGUUGGGAGACCCUUAUAAAUAAUUUAGGACUCUAGGUUAGCAAUUCAACCCAUUGAAAUAAGUUAAAAAAGAGAGGUAAGAUUUAGAUGAAGUGCGAGGGAUAUUGUAAUCCUAGAUUUGCUUGAUUUGAUAUUUUCUUAAGUUAUUAUUUUGAUUUUUCUUGUUGGUUAAAAUUUUAGUUAAUCAAUUAAUUUUGAGUGUUUGGAUAAGAUUAAUUUGUUCUAAUUUUAGUGCUUAGUAAAAUUUUAGAUCAAUUCCCUGUGGGAUCAAUACUUUGCUUGGUUAUAUACUGUCUAGUCGAUACGUAUACUUGCGUAGUAGAUUUUUAAUUGACAAAUUUUUGGCGCCGUUGUCGGGGAAUUGUUUCUAAAAUUUUUACUAAUACUAAUACCAAGCAAAUUUAGUCUUAAUUCAAUUUUUUUUAUUUUAUUUUCAGGUACUUUUGAUUGAGGAGAUGAAUUAUUGUAACUACAGUGAACAUCUGAACAAUUUGUGCCUAAGAGGGUUACUAGUGAUUAUGAAUUGGCUAUUAAUGAUUUGGAAACUGAAGUAGAUGCUUUGUCUCAAAAAAUUGUCGCUUGGGGUGUUAAUGGUUUUCAAAGUCCUUUUGUGGUAUGCGAGCUUUGUGGACAUAGGCAUUCAAGUGAUUGUUGUCCAACCUAUUAUGAAUCAAUGCAAUUUGAUGGAAGCUUCAAUGGGCAACAAAACAAUUCGUACUCCAACAGUUACAACUCAUGGUGGAAUCACUCAAAUUUUUCAUGGAGUAAUGAUCGGGGUUCUACAUAUUCAUCACAACUUGUUUUUCAGCAUGAUUUCUAGUCACAAGUUAGAGCCCCUAUUCUUGUGAAAAAGCUAACUUUGAAGGAUUUGUUAAUGCAAUUCACGAAAAAGAAUGAUGCCAUCAUUCAAAGUCAAGCAGUAUCAAUCUGAAAUCUUGAGACUCAAGUGAGCCAACUUGUUAAUUACAUCAACAAUAGGCCUCAAGAAAUUUUACCAAAAGACAUUAAGCCUAAUCCUAGAAAUGAAGAUAUGGUAAGCAUCUUGAUGAGGUAAAUGGCAAGACUGUGGUAGAUGAUGGAGAUAAAGUAGAUCAAGGUAAUACUUCCAGCGAUCAAGUUCAAGAUGAAAAAAUUAAGCAAGAGAAAGAAGUAUCUACUCCACCACAAGUCAUGCCAUAUGUGCCUUCCAAUCCUUUUCUAGAUACAGUUGAUGAGUUACGUAAGGAGGCUGUUGUUAUGGAAAAUCCAAAGCAACUCCUUGAAGCUUGUUUGGUUCAAGAUGCAACAACUAAGGACUAGAAUGAGAAGGACUCACAAAUGUUACACAUGUUUUGAAAGUUAUACCUAAGUGCAUUAUUCAAGAAGAACUCAAUUUGAGAAGUUGGGUAAAAGUCAACUUAUUCCACCACCUUCGGUUGAGCAAGCACCAAAUCUUAAGUUAAAGCCACCACAACCUCAUCUUAGGAGGAGACUACUUUCACACCUCAAACUUUUUUCGUGCAAACUCAAACCUUCUUAAAGGGUGAAUAAACACCUCAACCAAAGUCAAGCUACUGACUAUAAAAAAAAGCUUCUUGGGAGGCAACCCAAGUUAUAUCCUUUUAGAUUUAGUUGUUAUUUUAGUUACUUUUUGUUUUUCUAUGUAAAUAAGUAGUUAUAACCUCUCCCUAGGUUAUUUUGUUAUGUAUACAGAUUUGGAAAGCAUGAAGAUAAGGAGAAAGAAAAUUAGAGCUUUCAAAGCACUUCCACCAUUGAUAAGGGAGUUUAAUUUCCUUAUAUAUUUUUUUAGCUUUUCACAUUGAGGACAAUGUGCAAUUUAAGUUUGGGGGAGGCUUUUAUUGUUAUUAGUUUUUGUGAUGUUUUUAGGUUAGUUUAGUUUUGUAAUUUUUUUUUGUUUUUAGGAUUUAUUUUAGGAAUGCUUGAAAUAAAAAUUGCCUAUGCCAUGAUAUUACCAAUCCUAAUAUGGUAUUUUAAUUAUCUUUUGAUUCUUAGCUUUUGAGAAGUAUAUAGUUAUAAUUUAAUUUUAUGUGAUAUUCUUGUGUUAGCUUUAUUUUAGAAUGUGACUUUCAAUAAUUUGAGCACUAUAUUCUUUUACUUAGAAUUUUUGUGUGAUUUAGAGAAAUUUUAUGUUGAUGAAAAAGUAUAGUGAAGUCAUGAAUUCUAGAAUUUGUUUGAUUCUCUCUUGAGGCGAAAUCUUAGAUGACACUUAGGAUAGGAAGUGAUUUAGGCCAUCUUUGGACCGUUUAAGCCUUUUUUAGCCUACCUUGUUAUAUUUAUCCUUAGUCACCCUUUUUGAGCCUAAUCUACCUUUUCUUUAUAAUUACAGAAUUAUAUUAGCCUUAGUCUUUCUAUUUAAAUCCAACAAUUUGAACCUUUCACCCUCUAAGUAUUUUAAUCUUUCUAAAGAAUGGUUUGAGCUUAAAGAUAAAAUGAGGGAGAAAAGUGAAAAAAAAAACAAGAAAAGAAAAAAAAAGUGAUGGUUGUUAACAAAAAUUGCCCCUUGUUUAUAAUUGUUAAAAAUAAGUUUGGGGGUUGAAAAAAAAAGAAAAGAAAAGAAAUAAAUGUGUUGUACAAAGGAAAGUUUACUUCAAGUUUAGGGGUGCUAUUUAAAAAAAAAAAAUUUGCACUCUUUAUAUGUCCUAGAUUGAUUAAGUGUUUAGGGUGAAUUUGAGCCUAAAUAUAUCCUUUAUCAUGCCUUGACCCUAGCCUUACAUUACAAGCUUGAUAAAGACCUAUUGAUCCUUGAAUAAGUGUUAAUUUACAUUAGUGGAGAGAGAAAUGAAAAGCAAACCUAUGGGAUCCUAGUACUAAUCUAUGCUUAGAUUUGGCAUAAACUAAUCCGAAUUGCAUGAAAUUCUUUAUAAGAGAGCAUUCACACACACACAAGAAGUCCAAUUCAAAAAAUAAGUUUUCACUUGAAUUGAUGCAUGAAUUUAAGGAUUAACUAUAUGUUACCUUAAGUUGGAAAUUAAGUUAAUUUAUGAGGAAAAAUUGGGAAAUCAUGAUUUGGUACUUUUAUCUCUCGUUCAAGGAUUUUUUUUUUUAUGUUCAGUUUUUUUUUUGUGAUUUUCUUUUGCUCGAGGACUAGCAAAAUCUUAAGUUUGGGGGUAUGAUAAUUCUAUUUCAUAGAAUUAUUUUACUCCAAUUUUGUUAUUAAAUAUUAGCUAAGUCCUUAAUUUUCAAUUAUAAUUUAGUUAUUUCUAGUUGUUUUUAUAAUUAGUUUAUUUUUUUAGUAAGUUAUUUUAAUUUUAUGUUAUUCCUUUUUAUUUGGUUAUUAUUUAUUAGUUUUUAUAUUUUUUGAAGGAUUAAAACUGAUUGGGCUUAAUUUUGGAAAGUAAAGUGUUGAAAGAUCUAGAAUCUACUUGCAAAUGCUUCUGUAUUUUAGCCAUAUCUUGAGCUACAGAACUCCAAAUGAAGCAAUUCUUAGACCAUUGGAAAGCUAAGAGACAGAGCUACAACUUUUAUUAUAUCACAUUGCCCAGUUCUGCCUAGAAGAUAGAGAAAAUCACGUUGAAAAUGGCUGAACGUAUUGUGCCGGGAAUGGAAAUUUGUAAAGAAUGACAAUUGAUUUUUGGGCCUCUUAUUACACUUUUAAGCCCAAUUAAACCCUAGCUCAACUUAUGGAACUUUAGGUUAAGUUUAUUAGUAUAAAUAGGAUAUGUUUAAUACCAUUGGGGGAAAAACCUUUGGAGAUUCAAGAAGCUACAAGUUGAGGCUGAAACUUGGAGAUCAAGGCAGCAAAUAUUGAUUUGUUUUCUUCCUUGGCUUUAAUUAUUCUUGUUACUUUCAAUGGUUGAAUUUUAUACAAUGUUGUUUUAUUUUGCAAGUAUGAGUAGCUAAUUUUCCUUUUCUAGGAUUACAAUUCAACUCACAUGUAAUCUAAGUUUUUAAUCUCUUUCUUACUUAUUUUUAACGAGAUUUAAAUUGUUUAUUCCAAUUUUUUCUUAAUGCUUUUAAUUGCUUGGCCACCAAUUAAAUUGAUUUAAGAACCUAAACAAACUUGGGAAAGGGAGUUUAGUGUAGACUAAAAUUGGGAUAGCAUAUGAUCAUAUUAAUUGAUUUGCGUAUAGGAUAGGGAUAUACCUAUAGGCCAUAUGUAGCCAAAUUAGAGCCUGAACUUAAUGAAUCUAUUUUAAUUUCAAUUCACAUAGGGAUAUAGUGUUUUGGUUAAAAUAGAUAUUUUUAUAAGAUGAGUCGGGGAAACCUUUAUAAAUAAUUUAGGACUCUAGGUUAGCAAUUCAACCCAUUGAAAUAAGGAAGAGAGGUAAGAUUUAGAUGAAGUGUGAGGGAUAUUGUAAUCCUAGACUUGCUUGAUUUGAUAUUCUCUUAAGUUAUUAUUUUGAUUUUUCUUGUUGGUUAAAAUUUUGGUUAAUUAGUUUUAGUUAAUCAAUUAAUUUUGAGUGUUUGGAUAAGAUUAAUUUGUUCUAAUUUUGGUACUUAGUAAAAUUUUAGAUCAAUUCCCUAUGGGAUUGAUACUCUACUUGCUUACAUAUUGUCUAGUCGAUACGUAUACUUGCGUAGUGAAAUUUUAACUGAUAGGCACAGGCAUGACCACUAGUAAGGUGAUACAAGGUCAUGACAUCCAACAUUGCGGAGUGUAUUAACUCCUGUCUGAGCAUGCAAGAAAAAUGCCAAUAGCCAUCUUGAUCAAGUGCACUAGAGGCAUGUUCCAAUGUUGGUUACAUGAUCGUCACAAUGAGUCAUUGAAUUUGACCAUGCUCCUCAGCCCUUGGGCUAUUAAUUUGUUGAGCACAUGGUUCAAUGAAGCAUGUCACUUUUCCACACAACUAAUCGAUCGGGUGGAGUUUCAAAUUAUAGGUGGGACUAAGGACAAAGUCGUCAACUUGUCCACUAAGAUGUGUUCAUGUAGUCAAUUUCAGAUCGAUCUACUCCCCUGGACUCAUGCCAUGGUAGCAAUAAGGUAUGAAUAAUCAUGUUUUCUUAUUUUGUGUGUGAUGAAUUGAAAUUUGACAUUGUUCACCAAUUAUGAUUUCAUUGCCUUGGCAGUAAGUGCAAACAUGUAGCCAUUGAAUUCUGCUCAAACUAUUACAAGACACGAUCUUGGGUGGAGGAAUAUGCAAUUCCCGUUCACCUAGUUGGGCAUCAUAGUGCUCUGGUUCAAAUUGCCCAACUGGCCAUCCCAGUUUGAAGGGACAUUAUCUUCAGGUACGACACCCAUAAUGUUCUCAGAGUUUCUAGUUUGCUCUGGUUCAAAUUGCAGACAGAGAGCUCUUAGUCGACUAACUUGGUUGACUAAGUUGGUUCUGUUUCUGGUAUGCAGAUUCUGGCAUAGAGCACUUAGUUGACUGACUUGGUUCACUAAAUUGGUUCUGUUUCUCAAACUCUUCAGCCCACUAUUUCUCCAAUUUGAAAUUUGGUCAACUAAUGUUCUUCCUUGUUUCACUAAUAAGCUUCCUCCUUGUUAUUUAGUUACAUCUUGUUGAUCUUAUCCCUCUUUUUCUUUCAAAAAUACUCUUUGAAGAGUCAAUAAAUUAAUUUCAUAUAUUACUUUCCUGCGCACUCAAGUAAAGGUAUUAGACACACAUAAAUGGGAAUGUUUUAUUAUCAUAAAAAACUAAUGGAGCCAACAAUCUCCCCUUUUUUGAUGAUGUCAAAACAUUCCUUGAUUAACAGCAUAGUGUCAUUUUAAUUCUUUUUAGUUUUCUGCAAAAAUUGAGGAUUGCUCCCCCUAAGUAUAAGCUCCCCCUUAGUGUGUGCAUAUUUUAUUUAUUUUAUUUCAGCCAAUUUUAUUCUCGUCAUAUAGAAAAUGAUAUUGUACAUUUAGAGUAUACAUAGGUUCAGCAACAUAGAGUGAUUUGCAACAAGUAAGUAUUAGCAGAUCAUCAUUAAACUUUCAGCUUUAAGUGUUGACAGAUUUUCAUCAUUGUUCCAGCAGUUGUUAAUAGUUUAUUGAUUUUAGAUUUUGUUCACUUCAUUCAUGUUUCAAUUGAUAUACUAUUCAUACCAUUUAUAUCUAUUUUCAAACAGAAAUUAUCCACAAUGCCAUAACAAAAAUCAUUUAUCAGCAUGUAAAUCAAUAUCAGCAUAACACUAGCAGAUUUUGUUGAUGACAGUCAAAAUACCAAAAUAGCAAAAUAUUAGUAGACUUCAAUUUUUAGCAAUUAAGCAACAUUGUCAUAUCAGCAUUCAUUUUUCGCAUACAACCACAUAAAUACCAGAAUUAAAACUGAGUGUUUAAGUGCCACCAUGGCACAAAUAACAGUUAAUCAACAAGUAUUCCAAAACUGCCCCUGGACUAUUGUUGCUUCCUAUCUCCUAUUUUUCUAAGUUCAUUCAUCUUUGAUUCUGUCUUCUUUCUUUUCCUAGGUUCCUUCCUGGUUCCUCUACCCUAACAUUUUUUUUUUAAAUUUAUUCUCUGGUUCCUAGUUCCUGCACUCAUUCAAUUCUACUCCUCUUUUUUGUCAACAUCAAAGGGAGGGGCUUCUAUUCAUCUGAUAUGUUAGAGGGUGAGGAUUCAGUGCUAUAGAAAAGGUUGAAAGGAAAAGGAGAAGGCUCUCGGAGAGGUGAAGACUGUCUUAGGGAAGGUUCUGGUGAGGACUUGUUUGAGACAAGGAUUGAAGAGGAGGCUGAAACUGGUCUGGAUUUCUCCACCAACCUGGAAGACUUUCUUCCCUUGAGAAAAGCUAUCUUGGUUGCCAUAGUCUUCUUGCCUUUGGUUGGUAGUUUUGCCUCAGUUGGUGGUGCUGUAGUGGCUUUGGCUUUCCCUGCUUUUGUCUUUACUCUGGCAGCUAAUGCAAAUUUCUUUCGUUUUCCUACACCUUCACCAUCCUUUUGAGUUUCAGUCCUAGUAGUGUCCUUUUCAGCUUGUCCCUCAUUAACCAUUUGGUGGAAGAUAUCCAUGAUGAAAACUUCCUUUGAAUUUGGAGGAAAGGCCUGGUGUUUCUCUGUCUCUAAAUUAUUUUUGCUUUGAGGUUCAGGGGAGGGUGUCUUGGCUGGUUAAUCAACCCCUUGGGGAGAGUUUUCAGUCUGCAGAGCAGGACUGACAGAUUUAUGGGUGGAACCUUCAGUCUAAAUGCUUGAACUUCCAACAUGAGGAGUAGAUUUUUCUAUUGACUUAAUUAAAAUUUCAACACCUUGUUGUGCAAAUAUAUGUGGAUGACAUUGUAUUUGGUGCAACUAAUAAGGCUUUAUGCAAGAACUUUGCUAAGGAAAUGCAGGGUGAAUUUGAAAUGAGCAUGAUGGGAAAGUUGAAGUACUUCCUUGGUCUUCAAAUUAAACAAAGAAAGGAAGGAAUCUUCAUCAACCAAGAAAGAUAUACUCAUGAUAUGCUCAAGAAAUUUGAUAUGCUGAAGCUGAAAUCAAUUUCUACACUAAUGAGUCCAUCCACCAAACUCAACUUAGAUGAACAAGGUAAGGAUGUAGAUCAAAAGCUCUAUAGAGGUAUGAUCGGCUCUCUUCUCUACUUAAUAGCAAGUAAACUAGAUAUUCAAUUUAGUGUGUGCUUGUGCUAGAUUUCAGUCACAACCUAAAGAAUCACACCUAACAGUUGUUAAGAGAAUUUUUAGAUACCUCAUAAACACUCAAGAACUAGGAAUAUGGUACUCUAGAGACUCAAAUCUUAGCUUAGUUGGAUAUUCAAAUGCUGACUUUGCUAGCAACAAAACUGAUAGGAAAAGCACUAGUGGAACAUGCCAAUUUUUAGGAAGGAUGAUUGUGUCUUGGUCCAGUAAAAAGCAAAACUUAGUGGCACUGUCUACAGCAGAAGCUGAAUAUGUAUCAUUAGGUAGUUGCUGUGCACAAAUCCUUUGGAUCAAGCAACAACUAAAAGACUAUGGAAUAACUAUGCAUAAUAUACCAAUAUACUGUGAUAACACAAGUGCAAUCAAUAAAUCAAAAAAUCUUGUGUAGCACUCUAGGACAAAGCACAUUGAAGUUAGACACCAUUUUAUUAGAGACCAUGUGGUGAAAAAUGAUAUUAAGAUAGAAUUUGUGAAUACUUUACAUCAAUUAGCAGACAUUUUUACCAAACUUCUAAGUGAAGAUAAAUUUUGUGAGAUUAGAAGAAAUUUAAGGAUGAUUAGUGUGAAGGAAUUAUAAGAAAACCUUUGGCCCUCACAUAGAAAACAGAAUGCUUUCAGUCGACUAAGGACUUCUUAGUCAACUAAGAGUGGUCUGACAGCCUUAAAUAAUAAGACUCAGUUAGUUUAGAGAAAGAAGAGUAAAAUGUGGUAAAAAUAUGAGUUUACCGGGUACAAAAAGAAUGAAGAAAAACUGUCAAAGGUAAAUAACCAAAUUUUAAAAGGAUGUUUGAAAUUAUAUAGAAAUAAAAUAGGGCAGUACUUAAAAGAAGGUGAACAGUGUUUUUUGCAAUAACUGUUGACUAUAUUUCCUCCUCUCUCCCCUGAAACCCAUUGCUCUAAACACAAAAACCUAAAUCUCCCUGUUUGCCUCUGAAACCCACUCAAACCCUCAAAAAUUUUUGAAACUAACAUGGCUAGAACAUCUCACAGUAAAGAGAUAUCAGAAAAGAAGAAAGGGAAAAAGCCAAUGGAGGAAGGAAUAGGAACAGAAAGUCUGAAGAAGAAACUGAAAAUCAUGCCUCGUUCAGUGAAAGAUAUAUCCGAGAAACUAAGAGAAAAGAAGUAGAAAACUGAUAAGAAGAAAGAAAUAGAGCCCUCACUCCACAAAGGUACCAGUUCUUCUUCUUCGAGAAUGCACUAAUCUUUUGUGGAAAAUUCAUUAAUUGGAAGAGUUUUAAGAAAAAUGUAGAAAUAUAGACCAGUCUAUCUAAGUACUUUGAUGAACUAAAACUAAAAGGUUACAGCACCUUUAAGAAUAAGUCUUAUAGUCCAAGUUUGGUCAAAGAGUUUUAUUCUGGAAUUGCUUUGAAAAGAAAUGAAUUAAUAGAUUCUAAUUAUUAUGUAGAAGAUGGUUUGAAUGCUAAUCUGAAUGGAAAAUAGUUUAUUAUGAUUAUUGAGGAUUUAGGGAACUUGAUGAAAAUAGAGUAUGAAAAAGGUGAAUUUGAAUUGCUUGAAAAAUAUGAUCCGUCUUCAUUGUGGGAAAUCAUCACUGGAAGGAAAGAAAAAUAUUCUUCAAAAAGUAAUUCUGGUUUGAUAACCAGCCCUCAUAUCAGAAUUCUACACUAUUUCAUAGUAGCAAAUAUACAAGGCAGAAGUGGAAGCCUUAGCUACAUCAGCCUCCAAGACCUUUGGCUGAUGGAGCAUGCUUUUAAUUGAGUGUCUCUGAAUUUGGGAAGAUUUAUGAUUGAGAAAAUGAAAAGUGCCUGCAGACUUGAUAAGGUAAAUCUGUCGUAUGGGAAUGUGAUUACAUCCCUUGUGCAGAAGAAGGGAAUAUGGGCAAAAAGGUAUGAUAUGGACUUGGUAAAAACUGGAGAUCAAGCCAUUCAUUUUGACAGCUUGGUUAAAAUGGGGUAUGUACUUGAUGGAGAAAGGUUCAUUAAAACCUCCAAGACUGGUCAAGAAAAAAACACAGCUUACCUGCUCAACCUGAAAAAGCUCCCUCUAGAUUUUCAAAUGAAGUGAUUUUUAAUUUGCUCAUGAGGAUUGAUGGUAUGCUGAUUGACCAAGGAAUGAAGAUACAAAAAAUGGAAGAUAAAAUCACUGAGUUGGAAAACAAGAUGAAGGAGAAGGAAAACAUGCCAUCUGAACCUGUGGCUGCAGACAGUUCUGCCACAUCUAACACUGUACCUACACAACAAGGUAUUAAAUCAUUUAGAUAUCUCCUAAUGAACAAUGUAGUAUCGUUGCUGCCUCUAUCAUACCCUUUUUCAACUAGAAAUUUUGAAAGCCUCUCAUACCAAGCUGUAGGAGCUUGUUUCAAUCCAUACUAGGCUUUAUGAAGUUUGAAAACAUGAUCAGAUUUUUCAAAGUCUUCAAAACCAGGUGGUUGUUCUACAUAUACUUCCUCUUGAAUUAAUCCAUUUAAGAAUGCACUUUUGACAUCCAUUUGGAACAAUUUAAAAUUCAUGAAACAUGCAAAAGCUAGCAACAACCUUAUAGCUUCAAUCCUAGCAACCGGAGCAAAAGUUCAAUCAUAAUCUAUUCCUUCUUCUUGGUUGUAUCCUCUUGCUACCAACCUAGUUUUAUUUCUAACUACAUUUCCUUGUUCAUCUACCUUAUUUCUAAAUACCCAUUUUGUACUAACAAUAGGGUGAUUUGAAGGUCUAGGUACCAAUGACCAUACAUGACUCCUUGUGAAUUGAUCAAGUUCUUCUUGCAUCGCCAUUAUCCAACUUUCCUCUUUUUCAGCUUUUUCAAAGUUUUUAGGUUCAAUUUGAGAUAUAAAAGCUGAAAACUCACAAGUUUCUCUAGUUGCCUUCCUAGUUUUAACUCCUUGUGAAAUGUCACCUAUUAUUUGGUCUUGUGGGUGAUCUCUUACAAAUCUCCAACUCCUUGGUAGAUCAUCAUGUUGAUUUUUUGCUCUUUGCAGUUUUUCUAGAGGUGGAGUUUCAUUUUCUCUUCUAGGUGAGCUUUCUUCAUUAUUUUUGUUGUUUUCUAAGCUCAUUUCCUCCAUUUGUUUUUCUAAGACUUCUACAUCAUCCUCAUGACCAUGAACUUCUUUUUGCAAUGCAUUUAACUCAUCAAAAACUACAUGAAUUGAUUCUUCAACGGUUAUGGUCCUUUUGUUAAAAACUCUAUAGGCCUUUGAGUUUAAAGCAUAUCCUAAAAAUAUUGCUUCAUUACUCUUUGCAUCAAACUUCCCUAGGGGUUGUUUUCCAUUGUUCAAUACAAAGCAUUUACAGCCAAAGCUCCUAAAGUGAGAAAUAUUUAGUUUCCUACCUUUAUAAAGUUCAUAUGGAGUCUUUAAAAUCAAGGGUCUUAUUGAGACUCUAUUAAGAAUACAAGCUGCUGUAUUCACUGCCUUAGCCCAAAGAUAUUUAGGUAGGUUGUUCUCACAUAGUAUGAUCCUAGCCAUUUCUUUCAAGGUUUGGUUUUUCCUCUCUACAACUCCAUUUUGCUAGGGUGUUCUAGGUGUAGAAAAAUUGUGAUCCAAUCCCUUUUCAUUGCAAAACUUUUCAAACUCAUCAUUUUCAAAUUCUCCUCCAUGAUCACUCCUUAUGCUAACUAUGGCUAGUCCUUUUUCAUUUUCUACUUUCUUACAAUGACUUAAGAAUGCUUGUAGAGCAUCAUUCUUAUGAGCAAGAAAAUACACCUAAGUAUAUCUAGAAUUGUCAUCAACUAUAACAAAGCCAUAAGAUUUUCCUUCUAAGCUAGUUGUACUUAUUGGACCAAAUAGAUCAAUAUGAAGUAAUUCAAGAGGUCUAGAUGUUGACACAAUUUUCUUAGACUUGAAGGAUGUCCUAACUUGUUUUCCUAGUUGGCAAGCAUCACAUAUCCUACCAUUUUCAAAUUUUAACUCAGGCAGUCCAACGACAAGAUUCUUCUUAAUUAAUUUUGACAUAGUAUUCAUGCUCACAUGUCCUAAUCUCCUAUGCCAUAGCCAACUAUCAUUUUUAGCAUUUGCAAUAAGACAUACUUCACUAUUUACUUCAAGAUCUUUAAGAAAAAUUACAUAUAUAUUCUUCAAUCUAUUUCCUAUAAAUGAGAUUUUAUUUGUACUCAUAUCUAUCACUUCACACUUAAUUGAAUCAAAGCACACUCUAAAUCCUUUAUCACAUAAUUGACUAAUACUUAGUAAAUUAUGCUUUAAGCCUUUAACCAACAACACAUGACUAAUUUAGGUUUGGAAAUUCUUACCAACCGUACCAAUACCAUGAAUUCUUCCUUUUGAAUCAUCUCCAAAAGAUACGGUUCCUCUCUUUCUCUUAUCCAGCUGAGCAAACAUUUCAUGUCCUGUCAUGUGUUGUGAACAGCCAUUGUCCAAGUACCAAGGCUGUUUCUUCUUGAGUUGAGCUUUUGAACAUGUCUCCUUUAAGUCCAGCUCAACCUACAAAACAAAAUUUCAGUUUUUCUUUAUAGGUACCUACACUUUGAUGGGUCUUUGAGUGUUAGUUGCAACAAAGGAUCCCUUAGGAAACCAUAUUUUUUUAAAACAAUCAUAUGAUAAAUGACCAUGUUUACCACAAUUAUAACAUUUAGGAAAUGCUUUAGCUGAAUUUUUAUUGUGGUAUGCAUAUCUUUUUCAUGAUUCAUUUUUCAAGCAUUUAAGAGCUGUAUGUUCAUCAAGAGUUAUUUGCAAAGCUUCAGACUUGUUUUCCAGCUCUAGUUUUAAAACCUCAAAGUCUGUUUUUGAGUGUUCUAACUCAAUUUGCAAAAUAUUUCUUUGCUCAAAAACAAAAGUAAAUUCUUGUUUGAUUUGUUCCAAAUCAUUUUCAAGAAAUGCAGACUUUUUCUUGAAUGAUUUAUGUUUUGAAAAAAGCUUUUCAAAUUCAUCAUAAAGGCACUCAUACACAUCCUAUAAAUCAUCAUAAGAAUUAAUGCAAAGGGAUGGGGGUACCUCUAUUUCAUCCUCUUGUGCCAUUAAACAGAUGUUUGCUCUUUCCUCAGAUUUUUCAUCAUCAGUUUCAGAGCUUGAUGUGUCACUGUCCGACCAUGCAACAGCCACCAUUACUUUCUUGGAUUUCUUAUUUUUCUUAGGGGUUUCAUCUUUCAACAAUGGACACUUGGACUUGAAGUGACCAGGUUUCUUGCAUUCAUAGCAAAUCAUCUCCUCCUUUUUGUUGGAGUCAUUUUUGUUCCUUAUUUUCCAUGAAGCACCUUGGUCUUUCUUGAAACCUCUUCUAGUUAGCCUUCAAUUUCUUCUGCUCAUUAGCUUUCUGAAUUUUCUUGUAACUAGAGCUAAUUCUUCUUCAUCAUCACAAGAAAGCUUUUUUAGCUCUUUUUCAAGGAUGCUGACUUUAAGUGCAAUACUCUUUUCCUUUUCCUUUGCUUCCCUUCGGUCUUCUUCUUCUUUUUCUUUAAGCUCCAGCUCAUGAGUGCGAAGAGAACCACAAAUCUCAUUGAUUGUGAUGAUGUUCAAAUCUUUAGCCUCUCUAAUGGUAGUCACUUUUGGUUUCUAGGAUUUUGGAAGGCUUCUAAGCAGUCUCUUAACUAAUUCAUGUUCAAGGAUAGGCAUGCCUAGCUGACUUAAUUUAUUUGUGAUGUUUGUAAACCUAUCAAACAUGCUGGUGAUGUCUUCACCAGGCUCCAUUUUGAACAUUUCAUAACUAUGUGUUAAGAGAGCAAUAUUGGACUCCUUUACUUGAGAAGUCCCUUCAUGGAUUAUUCUAAGUUUUUCCCACACUUGUUUAGCUGUUGUACAGCUUGAGACUUUGUUAAAUUCGAUGGGGGUUAAUGCACAAUGCAAUGUGUUGAUGGCCUUAAAGUUUAAUUGAACUUUCUUAGUUUCAGCCUCAGUCCAUUCAGACCUUGGCUUGGGCAUCAACUCAUUUGUCACUACAUUCACGGUUGAGGGCAUAAAGGGUCCAUCAGUUAUGACGUCCCACAUUUCAUAAUAUAUAGCCCUAAUAUAAAUUGACAUUCUAGUGCUCUAAUAAGGGUAAUUAAAGCCAUCAAACAGAGGUGGCCUGUUUGUUGAUUGUCCCUUAGCAACUAUGGUUUUUUAUUGAGCCAUUUGGAUCUUCCCAAAGGAUGUUAAGCCUUAAAAACAGGGAACUAGCUCUGAUACCAAUUGUUGGUUCUGAUAAUAUGUGCUAGAGGGGGUGAAUAGUAUAAUUUGGCUCUUGACAAGAUUGGAAACUAAUUUUCAGAACUUAAGAAAACAAAAACAGAGUAUAAAAUGCACAACAAUUUAGAGUGGUUCGGUCCAAGACCUACAUCCACUACCUUGAUUAUCCAACCAAGGAUUUUCCCAUAAAUCCACUAUGGACUGGUGAAAUUCACAAGCUUUCACCAAGCUUUACAAUGGCUUUUACCAAGCUUAGCCACAACCUUUUACACUAGUUUUUCACGAGCUCAACUAAAACCCAAUGUGGUUUUCCAAGGCUCAACCAUAACCUACAACAAUGAAGCUAUCCCAAGCUUGAACAACCCCUUAGAGUGACUCCCUCACUUUAAGAAUUCAAGAGAAGUAGUAAAAGAAAGUACCUAUGAUCACAGGUUGAUCUGAUUGGUACAAGAUUGAGUGCUAAAUACAAAUGCAAAGAGUAGGCGUUUAAGUGCAGACAAGUGCAGUGAAGCUUUUUCGAUUUUUCAACUCUCUAUAGCUCAAAUCUCAUUCAAGGCUUCAAAAAACUUAUUUCUUAUUGUUGGAAGACCUUUUUAUACUUGGAGAUGCAACUCUGAUGGCUGUUUGGCAGUUUAUAUCCAUUGGAAACAAUUAAAGAUGAGUUCUAGCCGUUAAUCUGUCUUGUAGUGCUCUGGUUCAAAUUGCAGACAAAGAGCUCUUAGUUGACUAACUUUGUUGACUAAGUUGGUUCUGCACCAAAACAUACAUUGCCAUUAGGUUUAACCUUCGCUACCCAAUGACAAAAAAAAUUAAAUAAAUUAAAAAAAUAUGGUUUUUUAACUCACUUUGCCUUCUCUAUCCAAACCUGCAAUAUUGACGUAGAAGCCUAAAGGCCUCUCACCACACUGCCAUUUUAGCAUUCUUAGGCAAACCUGUUCAGACCGGCGCUGCCUUCCAAACAAGCUUUGGAUAUUAAGAAUUGCUUCUCAUGCCCAAAACUGAACAUCAAUUAUGAAACAAUUUUUACUCACAUCGUAAAAUCUUAUGCGAAAAGAAUAAUGAUAAACAUUAGGGUAUGGCACUCUACCUGAAAUGUCCAUAUAAAUUCAUAGAGGUGGUAAUGUUUCUUCUCUACUGCUCCCACCGCUGGAGGUUUGAAACCCUUCACCAAGUAAUCGAAGGUCAGACUCCAAACGUAUGUGCCUCAUGGGAACUCAUUAUUAGUCGUCGAUGUUCUCGACUAACGAUAACAACCAUGGAAUUACUGAUCGUCUAUAGUCUUGAUCGAAUAAAACAUUGCUCACGAUCAAGAAGAGGGCCAUCUUGGUUGCGUCUCCUUCCUGCUAAAACUACCCUCCUUUGAACAUCUUUAAAACUUGUUGUAUCUUCACCUCGUUCCCUGGUCCCCAAUAUCACUAGUAAAUUCCUCCGAGGAUGACCUCGUAGGGAUUGACAAUAAGGGCCAGUAGGGUACCAAACUUCAGUCCUGUCACCAAGAAAAACUCCCUCUUCGAGAACUGGGCCUUCGUUUUGCCUAUGGCAAACCAUAACUCACCCUCGAUGGCGUUGGGUUCAUUGAUUUUGUGCAGUUUUAGGUUGUGCAUGAGAUUGGCGCAGAAUAAACUCUUCUCUGAUUCAACGUCCAUCAUAUGCCCAAAGCAUGUUCUCUUCAAGGUUUCCAAUUCAUUUACUUUGCACAUCUCACGUAUCACAUGCAGAUGCAACCACUUACAGUGGAUGUUAAUGCCAACGUUGAACCCUCACUGGUGCCUCGGCACACAAAGCAAAGAUUCCACAUUAUUCUGCUCUGUUCCUAUGUUGGCUAUUUGCAACAAAAAACAGAUAACAUUCCCAUUUUAGUUAAUAUGAUCAUUGUAGAUUAAAAAAAAAAAGAAUUUCUAAGAAAUAACCCUGCUUAGAGGCUCACUCUAAUAGUGACCCUCAUAAUAAUUUUAAUUGUUUUUAGAUAACCCUGAAAUAGAAUAAUUAAUGCAUAUGUCAAGCAUGGAUUAUUAAGUAAAUCAACAUAUACAUAUUAAAGCAUUACAGUUGACCCAAAAUAAUACAGAAUGAGCACAAUGUUGGUCAUGCAAUGCCAUAUAGUAAAUUUCAUGCAAUUAUAACACUCGCGCAAUUUCAUACAGAAAACAGUCAUGCAGUGCCUUAUCAAUAAGUCAUGCAAUUAUUAAUAGUAAACCAUGCAAUGAUCUAUCAGCAAGUCAUGCAAUGCUAAGAACAAUUAAACGAAUCAUGCACACACUAAGUGACGCCAUGCCUAAACAAUAUUCACGCAAUGACCUAUCAACAAGUCACGCAAUGUUAACCCUAAUGCAAUCACGCACACUCUAAGUGACGCCAUGCCAAAAUCCAGUCAUGCAAAAAGUGCCAACCAUGCAAGCAAGCCCUUAGUCACGCAAUUUCUAAACCCUAAACCCAAUUCCUAUCAAAGGGUGAUAACGCAUACAUAUCAACCAGUCACUCAUGCCUUGUCACCUUUCAACCCCAACAACAACAACAAUACCACCUUCAUGUUUAUAUUUAACAAUUUCAAACAACACAAAUAUCAAUAUGAACAAGCAAUAACCCUAAAUGAAAAACAUGAAGAAUAACAAUAACCCUAAAAAUAUUUCUCCACAUGGUUCAAAAUAAAAUAAAAAUAUAUUAUACCUUUCUCCGAGUAAUGUGAACUUCCUCUCAUUGCUCAAUAUGUGAACUACCUUUAUGCGAAUAAUAACCACUCCAAAAUGCUUCUACCACCACAAAAAAUGUUCAAAAGUUGAAGUGGUGAGGAAUGCUUUCAAUUGAAUUCUUUGUUUGGAGAUGUACGGUCUAUUGAUGAGAACUGAAGACUUACACACCUUGUAAAUAUACUUGACCCAUUAAUAGGUUUCAGGUUGAGGUGCGGAGUGACACAAUAAUGGGUCGGUUUCAUUAAAGGCAAUUUUAUUUUAAUUCUCUUGGCUAAAAACAAUUAAAAUUAUGGAGAGGCCUAUUUCCAGAAACGUCGUAUGCAUGAGGUUUAUUUUAAAAAUGAACUCUAUUAAUAAAUAAUAACCUUAUUAAAAUUUAAUUUUAAAAUAUAUUUUAAAAUAUUUUAUAUUUUAAUAAUCAAUUAAAUUAGAUAGACGGGCGCCAAUAAGGUUAGCUAUGGAACAAAUUUGGAUUUUUAAGGUAUUAACUAGGCUUAGUCCAACCAUGAACACCUUUAGCUGUAACAGUGUCUUUGAGAAAUCAAAUAAUUAUUAUCAAUAUGAUAUUACAAGCAUUUCUCGAUAAAUUAAUGCACGACUCACAUCUUGAAAUAUAUUUCAAUAAUUAUCUUAAUGAAAAUUGAAAUUAGUGUUAACAUUUUAUGCCUUGAAAUUAAUGUAUUAAAUAACACAAUGAUUCACUAGGAUAAUUAAUGAUAUGCUUAAAUUAUGAUUAUGAUUUACUGAUAAAUCAUAAAUUUAUUUAUUUUUCAAGUCAAUUUAAAGAUAAAAAUUUUUAAGGACAAAUUUUUUAAACCCUUAAAGAUAAGUUUUUUUUUUGAAAAAAACAUUGUUUUUAAUUUUAACUGUUUUUAGUUAAGAGAAAAUAUUUUUGGAUAAAACUGUCCUUAACAAUACAUCCUCAUUGUUUUUUUAGAAAAAAAAAUCAACACUAUUAUUACUCAAGAACAAUGAUACAGAGAUGAAAAGGCUAAGAACAAAAUAUUUAAAUUAUAAAAAAAGAAAGAUAAAAAAGAAGAAAAAAGGAUCAUCAUCAUAAUUAUCCUCUCAUACAAACAAACAAAAAGGAAAAGAGAAGUGGAGACAAAGCUAUUUUGGUUUUCGAUGAAUCUUUUGUUUUUUUGUUUUUUUACUUUAGUUGGUAGGGUUGUUGUGGAAGAAUCUUAAAUCCUUGAUAGCUAUAGCCCUAAAGAUGUACUAGUGGUAUGCAACUGCUGUAAGAACUCCGACGAAAGGACUAACCUAGAAAACCAAGAAAAAAUAUUGUUAUAUGCCAUGUUAAAAAAAAAUUAUUACACGCCAUGUUUAAAGUGUUUAACUUUAAAAGUUUAUGUCCUAGUGAAGCACAAAAAUAGAGACCAAGAUACAUGUCAUGUUUAAAAAAUAAUAUUGUUACGUGCCAUGUUAAAAAAAAUGUUAUUACAUGCUAUGUUGAAAAAAAAAUACUGUUACAUGAUACAGUCUAUGUUGAAAAAAAAAGUUAUUACACAUCUUGUUUAAGGUGUUUAACUUUAAGAAUUUAUAUCCUACUGAAAUACAAAGAUAAAGACCAAGUUACAUGCCAUGUUGAAAAAAAAAAAGUUAUUACACGCCAUGUUUGUGUUUAACUUCAACAGUUUAUAUUCUAGUGAAAUACAAAGAUAGAAAUCAAAUUACACGUCACAUUAAAAAAAAGGUGUUACAGGCCAUGUUGAGAAAAAAAGGUUGUUACAUUCCAUGUUUAAGGUGUUUAACUUCAAGAGUUUAUGUCCUAGUGAAAUACAAAAUAAAGAUCAAGUUACAUGCCAUGCUUAAACCAUGCCAUAUUCAAUAGAUUUAGUACACGCCAAGUGCAUUAGAGUUGUUACAUACAAGUAUGGCAUGUAACAACUCUGGGCAGUGUUCUAAUUUACAGAUUUCACUUAUAUAACUUUAACCCAUCAACUUUGGAGUUAUGUGAAUAUAAAUCAAUAAACCCAAGAACAUAUAUUAAUGUAAUCUUUGCUCUUUGGUUUGUAAAUCAACGACGAUAUGGUGAGAAAUAGAUAGAAAGAGAUGAUGAUGCUGGUGGUGAAAGAAAGAAAUCGAGGGCACAGUAAAUCACUGAUGCGAGAAAGAGAUAUCGAUAUAAUUAGAGAGAGUUGGAUGACAAGAGAGGGAAAUCGGGAGCACAACGACAAAUGUCAUAAGGAGAAAUCAAGAGAAGAAAUUGUGAUGAAUGGUUUAAUUUAUCUAAACUGGAUUCAAGGGCAUUUUUGUCAAAUCAUGGCAAAUUUUGGAUAAAAGUAGUUAACUUGAUGUUAGGGGCUAUUUUUGAAAUUAUCUCAUAAAGUUAACCAUUUCUCACAAUUUCUUCUAAGUUUUAAGUUAAUAAUAAUUUACUAAUAUAUCACUAGCUGCUUUGAGACUACCCUUACGAGAAAGUAACAGUUAUUUUACUCACAUAGGAUGCCUAAGUUAAGAAAAGAAAAAGAAAGAGAAAAUCUCCCUGCUUUAAAUCAUGAUCCAAUGGAAAUUUAAAAUUAAGAAAUAUAUAUAAUAUAUUGAAAAGCAAGAGAAAUGAUUUUAUUAAAGCCAAAGGUGAUGUAAUUCAACUAAGUUGGCAAUCGACAAAACAACAAAGCUUGAAUUCGAAAAGGCAAACAAAAACAAAGAGAUGGCCCUUCCAUCCCACAAAGAUUUUGUUGGUGACGUGUAUUUGCAGUUGUAUUUGUAUUCUGUAGCCAAUGCAAACUUAUGAUAAGGAAAAAAGAUAACAAAUUCAUUGUUGUAGUAGUUGGUUGUCUGAAAGCAAGGUUCUAGUGAAUGAGUGAUGUAAAACAAGUGCUCUCAAAUAAAAUACUCAAUAACUAAUAAAAUCUUAAGUCAAAAUCCAUAGCAUUAACAACAUCUUGAUAUUUUCUUUGGAAAGCUUUUGACAAAUCCUUUGCAAUUCCAAACACACUCUUUAUCAAUUGUAGGUUGAAAAUGAAUUCAAAACGUUGGAUUAGUUGUAAUAAGAUUUGAUUUGAACUCUUUUUUUUUUUCAACAUAGCGAGAGGUGUCCACACCUUGCCCAAACUUGAUCCAAUUAAAUUAUUUUAUUAAUAAAUAAUAUCAAUUUAUUGAAUUUUUAUUUUAAGAUAUAUUUAAAAUAUUUUAAAACUAAUAGAAAAUAUUAUUUAAUUAUGUUAAUAAUAAAACAAUGUCAUAGGUGGAUCUAGUCGAGCUUUUUAAAAAAGGAGACUUAACCAUAACUCGACCUAUAGACCAUUCAACAAUCAAGUAAUCAAGUGCAUCAAUAAUUGAUGCAACAAUAUGAUUAUACUGAGUAAUUGACCGUAUUGACAACCCUUUCGUAUCUUACCAGCACAUUUGAGAUUAGUUUCUUGGUUAAACCUCUUUCACUUGUAACUUUGCCAUUGGCUAAUACCUUAACAACUUUGUUAGCUUGACUUUCUCUAAGAAUAUUGUAGAUGGUUCUUAAAAAGAGGAGUGAGAUAAUGUUUCAAAAAGUAAAAUGAAAUAUGCUAAAGGCGACAAACAAGAAGAUUGGAUUAGAACUUGAAGUGUUGAGUGCUCUUCUGGCAAGAAGUAAGGGUUACAAAUUAGAGAAAAGAUGGAAAAAAUGUAAUGGUAGAGCACAUAGGAGAAUAAGAUGGAAAAAGUUGAGUAAAAUAGAGAGAAUAUUUGAGAAAAGCUUAGAAAGAGCUUUUUAGAGAGAAUAUUGUAGAAAGGAAGUCUAUUCAAUUUCUAGUGUGUCCUUAAUGAACUGCCAAAACUCCUAUAUAUACCAAGUAGAACCAGUUGGUUAGAAAUUGUUUAUUGGAUGUCAUGGGAAAAGCAUGUUUAGGGAGAACAAAUUCAUCAAAGGAAGAAUAGGUCCAUUAUGGAAAAAAAUGUUUAUUAUGGGAAGAACAAAUCCAUUAUUUAAGAAUAAGUUCUUCAUGGGAAUAACACAUUAGCCCACUACUUGUAUUUGAUAGUGAGUAGACAUUAAUGACAUAGUGGAACUCAAUGACACUUAACAAUGUGUGAAGUGUUUCCCAAGAAUAAGGGAAAAGAAAAAUCGUUUGGACUUCAAGAAAAUAUUAAAAGGAAGACCUACUAACUACCUUUAUAUUCGGUCCCUCAGGUCAAGCUCUUUAGAAUAUCCUAAUGGUGAAACUAAACCAUGAAUUCUAUCAUUUGUUUCGGAUUACUUUGAUUGUUAUCCACAUGAUAUAAUUGUUCUUUCCUUAUGUAAAACAACUCUUAAAGAAAUAAUAAGUUAGCCAAAAAUCAAGCAUUGAGGAAUAUCAUAACAUUUACAUGAAGCUACAACAAUAUCCAGUAUGAGUUACCAAUGAUAUGAAAAAGGAGAAGAAAAAGAAUUUUCAUUUUUUUUAACAGAUAAAAAAGUCAAUUAAAGUUUAUGGGUAAAGCAAUAACGAUAAAGUGCAAAGUCAUUUGAAAUGUGACCAUGUGACUAGCCAUAAAACACGUCUACUAACAUAUACAGAUAUCUUAUACUUUUAUGAGAUUUAAAAUUUUUUUAAUCCACGUAUUUAUAAUUGUUAUGAUACCACAUGCAAGUGACAUAAAUUUUAUAGAACACCAAAAUAUAAAUAGUCAGAUAGUACCAAUUUAGGUACUUGGAAUCGAAGUUAGGAUAAUUCCUAGGUUAGGACUAUGGCCUUCACCUUUAGCGAAAAAGAGACUCAAUUACGUUUAAAUAGGUCUUAAUAUAGCACCUACCUUGUAACGACCCCUCUUCUGUCCCUACCGGCAUCCGAGACCUUUGGGAGAUCCCGCCCAGUCCCAAACAAACUUUAAAGAAAUUUCUCAAUAACUCAUUGUAUAUUUUUACUAAACUGUAUUCAUGUUUGAACCAUAAAUAUUUAAAACAUGAAUUCAAUAAUAACCAUAGCCAUUAAAUUUUGACUCUAAAUCAUGAGAGCACAAUUAAAUACAUUGAGUUCAAAAAUCUCAAAUUUCCUGUUUAUAUUAAAACAAUAUUUGUUUACAUAGUAAAACCAGAGUACUACAACUCAACCUUUAAUAGUGGAGCGACUCGGGAUAAAAUGCUAUGAGAUGCCUUUACCUAUCUGCGAUGGACCAGACGCGCCGAUGAUUACACACUAGGCUGAUCAUUGUCUGCAAAACGGGAAAUAAAAAAAGGUGUGAGUCUCACAAACUCAGUGAUCAUCAGCUCCGUGAGUAGAGCGUAAAUGGAAAACAAGCAAACAACAGAUUAGUUGAAUAUUAAAAUAAAAGAUUAUAAAAACAAUUUAUUUCAUAUGGGAGUUUGUGCCUUAUAUGAAAAAUCGAGGAUUUCUUACGCAUUGUAAACACUUCAAUUAGUGAAUCAACCAAGGUAGAUAAAAUUUUUUGCUACAAAAUAGAUCAAUAACUUUAUUCAAGUCAAUCAUUUGAAAUAUUGAAUUAAAACAAUUUUACAUAAAGAAAAUUAUGUCGUCAAGAUCAAUUGACAUUUUACUCAAAUCAAAUCAAUAUAUUCGGCAAGCUCCCAUGAAAUUGAAUGUUAAUCAAGCUCAUACGUAAAUCAUAGAUCACCUCGCACUCGAGGAGUUAAAAUUCAUUUCACCAUAAAAAUAGGGGAGCUACAAAAAAAACCGUAUAAUUUCGUUUUCACCAUGCAAAGAAAUAUGAGUUUGAAAACCUAGAGAUGCUACUCUCGAGUAGGGAAUGAAAAUAAACCCAUGGUCCCGCUACCACGUAAUACAUCCGGGAGCCUCGCUCAUGACAACCGUCGCGAUGUCCCAAUAGGCACUCAUUACCUGGAAUGCCGAUCGGAACCCCACAAGGCUUAGGAUCAGCUUCCGCAUCUCCCCAGUGAGUGACAGUUAUUAAAUCUCGCAUUUCAAGAAAUCAUAAGUCGUUUCUAAAUCAAAACAAUAUAAUAUUAUUUUCUGGCUCAUAGGGGUAUUUUAGUCAUUUUUCUUCAAAAAUACCGAAACCUGCCAAAAACAUGGUGCGUGGGUGAAAAACACAUGUUUCAUAAUUAAAAGUAAAUUUAGAUGUCUAAAAUAAUUAUUUGAAAUGAAAUUAUAAUUGUUUAAAUAAAAUAAUAAUAUUCUAUUUUCUAAAAAAAAUAAUAUUUAUAGAGAAAUCCGUAAAUAAUUUCUGUAGUGUAAAAGCUAAAUAUAUUCAUACAUUCUUUAAAGUAGAUAACUGAAGUAUAAAAUUACUUUUACAGUGACACGUGGGCCCCAACUAACCAAUAUGGUGCAAGUUUGUGAACUACAAUUUUGUCCAUGCAAGGCUAACUGAGGUCCUUGAUGCAAUCAGCUAUAUACCGGCUAUCCCGAGCCUGAAAUGUGGGAAAUUAAGGGUGGUGAGAUUAUAAAAUCCCAGUGAGUGAACAGAUACCACCUACACCAUCUAAAGUCGAGUAAAUGGAGACAAGUAAGAUAUUCCAUUCCAAUAUGUUUUUCAUAACAUCAAUAAUCAAUUUACUCAAAUAAUCAACUUGGCUUAUGUAUUUCACAAAACUUGACUCUUGCCAAAGUCAUUCCCAAGGAUGCCUUGGACUAGGCAUCUGAUCGAGACCACCAAGACUGUUCAGUGUAGUACACACAUGAACAUAUUUUUACAUUUGAAAAUCUAGCCAUGCCUUGGCGUUGACUGAGUCUCACUCUCACGCGGUGGUCCACGUGAAGUGCACUCAAAUCUUUACCUCCAGAGACACCCUCCACACGGCUCUUCGAUUGAGGUAAGGUAUGUCUGAUUUUGUGCCCCCUCUCUUAGGCUGGUCCACAGAACCUCCACUGCAGGAAUCAUGGAUUAUUUUAUCUACCACCUGAUUUAUAAAAUCUUUAUCUGCAUGACAUGGCAAUUUAUCGCAACCUAACUUCUCAAGGCUGAAUACAUAGUACAAAUAAUUCUAACACCAAAAAUCAGUUUAGCCAUUCAUGCUUAUAUAUUGUCAUAAGCCAUUCAAUUUAAAACCAUAAAUUUACAACACAUCAAGUGGUCUCCAAUUUCUCUAUUUUCAAAAACAUAAUUCAAUUUCAAGACAAUUUAUAAAAUCAUUUUAUUUAAACACAUUUUACUUAUAAAACAUAAGGAUUUACCAUUUAACUCAUUUUCCAUAAAAUCAUAAAAUCGGAUAAAACCACUCUAGAUAAUUAAGAUGAUAGUAAGAUUACUCACAGUAUUAGGAGUAGAAAGACUCCUAGUCUCGGUCUUUGGUGUAAUCUCUUUAUCCUUAUCAAAUAGCUCACCACCUAUACAUCACACAUGACACAAAAUUUAAUAAUUUGUGUCAAUUUGUCAUAAACUAUUUCAGGCCCUCUAAAUCUAAAUGAAUGCAUGGAAUGCUCAGUCAACCGCUUAAACACGAUGUUGACCUAAUUCGGUCUAUCACCCGAUUAAAUUACCAACGUGUCCAAUUUAAUCCCAAAUUACUCCAUUUCUUUUCUAAUACCUCAAUUCACCAAACAUUAUUCAAGUAACACUAAUUUCAGCAUCAAAAUCCUCCCAUUUCUUCAUGGAAAAAUGUGGCCAUUACAUGCACUAACACAAUGAUUUUUCCUACUUAAUUUUCUCACCAUUAUUCAUCAUUUUCUAAGCCAUUUCUCUUGAAAUAAUAACAAUCCAUCACCCACACACAUCAAGGAAGAUUCGGCCAAUGAAGAUUCAUGGGGAAAAUGGAUUCUUUUCUUGUUGUUUUGCUUCUAAGUAUGCUAAACUAACCUUAAUCACUAACAUAACCUAAAAUCAAACAAGUCCAACAUCAUUUCUCUCACCAUACUCAUUUGGCCUACCACUUAUUCACUAUGAAAUCAUGCUUCUCAACCAUAGAAAUAAGAAAAUAAACCAUGGGUAUUGUAAAUCUCAAGUAAAAAUAAAGAAUUUUCACUUUACCUUGCUUAAUUCCUUGGAUUUUCACACUUUCUCUUGAAUUUUUCUUCGCUAGGGUUUGUUUUCCUUAUUUUCUUUCUUUCCUCUCUUGUUUUCUUGCUUGGCCAACCCUUAUGGUGAGAAUGGGCUGAUUCUAUGCUGAUUUUUAUAGCUUAAUAAUAAGAUAAUAAAGCUUGACACGUGGCACUUUAUGAUUGGUCCACACUUUAAAUAUUUGUCUUUUAAUUCUUUAAUUCUCCACCACACAUUUUCUCAUAUUUCUCCAUUUCUAUGAUGAAUAAAAUCCCUUGGUCUUGGCAAGUGUCGGGGUGAAAAUUUACAGAUUUGCCCUUGAGGUGGCAAAAUUACCAUUUUGCCCAUGAAUAGUGAAAAUUCUAAUUUAACUCCGAAUUGAUCCUUGAACUCCAAAUCACCAUUUUAAGUCAUUCCUGAAUUGUAAAAUUUUGAAUUUCACCUUAAAAUCCCUAUUUGACCAAGUUCGAGGCUUAGAUCAACUUUAUUGUACCUCUAGGUACAGUACCGACUUUUAUCAAUUUUUCGGGGCUUUCCUAGUAUGUAAACAUGCUAUCCAUCAAAUGUAUAUCAUGACAAGUAUUUUAUAAGGUCAAGCUUUACACCACCAGAUCCCACAUGCCAUGGCAGUCUCACGAUGUUGGCCGACAUCAGAGAAUCAAGCGGUUGCAACCGCGUAAUCAUUUCGUGGCCUAGCCACACAUACAUAUAUCACAGGCUGUGGCCCCAACCAUGCCUAACCGUCCGUCGGUGACCCAAUGGUUCUCUAGCUAGAGCUCACUCGUGCACGAGGGUCACACUUAACCGAUGUGACAUUCGACCUACUCUCGACGCCCUCGAUUUGCGAAACCAUUUUUGAAAUCGUUUUAUGUCCUCAAAAGCUCGUCUCAAAAUUAUUUUCAAAACAUUCAACACAGGGUAUAAUAAAAUCUAUCAUUUUCUUAAAUAUAUUUAUACAUGGAUUUCAAAACAAUAAUUUGCUUGGUGAAUAAGCAAUAUAACCAUGAAUGCACACUACACAAAUUUAAGGUACAAAUUUUGAUGUAAAAUAGUGCGAAGGGCUCGCUUCCUGAUUUUUAAAACACUUUACAUAUAAUUUAUACAUAUAUUUAUUCAAAACGAUUUCUAAACAUAAUUUGCAACCACAAUUUCCUUAGAUUGCUACCAACACAUGCUAUCCAAAAUUUUCACGUUUAAAAUAACUCAUACAUAUAGGUAUAUAUUUACAAAAAUUUUAAAAUUUACACCCCCUACUCACCUCACAAUAGCGGGAUGUUACGUCACUGUUAGUUCGUAGACAUAUCUAGUUAUUCCUUCCUAUCGGCCGUUCGUUAUUUUUCUUCAACCUACCACCACAGUGUUCCACCGUUACUUAUUUCUCUUAUAUAUUAAAACCCACUAAUAUAUAUUAUAUUAUAUUAUUUUAUUAUUUUUUUUCUCUUUAUGCCCCCCCAUUACCUUUCCUUCACCUGAUCUCUUUCUCAUCCUUUUUGCUGCAACCUUCAUCCUUCCUCCUUCACUACCUACACCGGUAGCAAGCUCUCUACUUUCACUCUCACCGUCGGUCACUGUAACUGAAAUACCCCAUACUUUGAUAUGGUGAUAAAUAAAGUUGAUCAAAUACAAAUUGAGGUCAAUUAAAAUGUUUAAAAGUGAUAAAAGAUGAAAAAAGUAGUUUAGGAUAAAAUAUUUCGCAAGUGAGAAAAUAACAAUAAAAUAAUAAUAAUUUUAUCCGAGGAGAAUUUGUGAGAUAAAAGGUGAUUUGGAAGUCAAGUGAGGCAUAAUAAGGUAUUUUGGGUACCAAGGAGACAAGAUAAAAUAUUUAGAAUAAAAUAAUAUUUUAUUAAUAAAAUAAUAUUAAAAUAUUAAUAUUUAGUCAGAUAUCGAAAUCAGUCAUGAAGAAAGAUCAUAUAGUUGAUCCAAGUGGGGGAGAAGAUAACAAGCCCGACUCUACAAAAAUAUUUGUCAUGACAUACAUGUGAUGGAUAGUAUGUUUGCAUGUUAGGAGAGUCCCGAAAAAUUUACAAAAGUCAGUAUUAUACCUAGAGGUACAACAAAGUUGAUUUAAGCCUCGAACUAGAUCAAAUAGAGAAUUUGUGAUGAAAUUAAGAAUUUUAAAGUCCCAGAAUGGUUUAAUAUGGUGAUUUGGAGUUCGAGGAUCAAUUUAGAGUCAAACCAGAAUUUUCGCUAUCUAGGGGCAAAAUGGUCAUUUGCCACCUGGGGACAAAAUGAGAAUUUUUUAAAAACAUUUUUGGCCCCAUUUGACUUAUUAGAGUAUGAUUUGAGGUUUAGAAGUGAAAAAUUUUAAUUUCGGUAUAAUUUGGAGUAUAGGGCUAAAAUGGUAAUUUUACCACCCUAGGGGCAAAACAGUAAUUUUCCACCACUAAGAUAUUUUUCCAGCACAUGGUCAUCUCUUAUCCUCAUUUUGACCAUUGACUAAUUGUGUGGUGGAGAUAAAAAGGAUUAAAAUUUUUAAAGUUUUAAAAACGGGCUAAUGACAUGAUGCCACGUGUCAUGCCUUUAUAAUUUAUUAUUUUCCUUUUUAAAAGGCACAAAAAUCAGCCCAUCUUCCACCCCAUGGCCGGCCAAACCAGCAAUAAGAGAGAGAAAACAAAAACAAAACCCUAGAGAGAGAAAAUCAAAGAAAAAGUGUGAAUUUUCAAGGAAAUUAAGUGAAAAAGGUGAGNNNNNNNNNNNNNNNNNNNNNNNNNNNNNNNNNNNNNNNNNNNNNNNNNNNNNNNNNNNNNNNNNNNNNNNNNNNNNNNNNNNNNNNNNNNNNNNNNNNNNNNNNNNNNNNNNNNNNNNNNNNNNNNNNNGCAUUUUCUCCUUAUUUUCCAUGAUUAAAUUACAUGUUUUCAUGAUGAAUUGAUGGCUGAUCAAAUGGGUUAGGAGAGAGAAAGUUGUUAGAUUAAUUUGAUUUUAAGUUAUGUUAGUGUUUUUAGUUAGUUUAGCAUAUUUAGGAACAAAACAAUAAGAAAAGAAUUUAUUUUCCUCCAUUACCAUUAUUGACCAAAUUUUCUAAGGGAAUAUUGGCUGAUGAUCUUGAUGUUUAUUUGAGGAAUUAUGAUGAAUAAUGAUGAAUUAUGAGCCUAGAAAAAUAAUGGGAAUUUUCGGAGCAAAAAUAUGAAUUUUUACCCACUAGAGGUAUUUUCGUAAUUUGCUAUCGGGACUGAUAAAUUGAAUCUCAUUCACAGUCACUAAGGUAAUUUAAGUAUAAUUGGAGUGUAGAAAGUGAGAAGAAUUGAUUUGGAGUUAAAUUGGAGAUAAUAGGCCGAAUUAGGUCAGCAUCGCAUUUAAGCGGUAGUCGGAAAGUUGUAUAUCAUAUCAUGCAUAUAUACCGAGCCUGAAUUGAUUUUAUAAUGGUCAAGCAUUGAUGUGGUGAAUUAUGUAUUGUACAUUGUGGAUAGGUGGUAAGCAAAGUACACUGGUAAAAGUACAGAGAUUGUGCUUGGAGACUAGGAUUAGGAGUACAUCGACUCCUAGAAUUGUGAGUGAACUUAUUAUCGUCGUAAUUAUCUAGAGUAGUUUUAUACAAUUAUGUGAUUUUAUGAAAAAUAAGGUUAAAUGGUAAAUUGCUAUGUUUUAAGAGAAAUUGUGAUUUUAUAAAAUGAUUUUAUAAAUUUUCUGAAAAAUCGAAUACUGGUUUUGAAAAUAGAGUAAUUGGAGACUGUCUGCUUGUGUUGUCAAUUUAUGGUUUUAAAUUGAAUGGCUUAUGACAAUAUAUGAGCAUGAAUGGCUAAAAUGAUUUUGGUGUUAGAAUUAUUUGUACUGAGUAUUCAGCCUUGAGAGGCUAGGUUGUGAUAAAUUGCCAUGCCAUGCUAGAAUGAAUUUUAUUGAUUGGUGGAGUAUAUAUUAAUUAUUCACUACAGAAGGGGUUCCGUGGACCAACCUAUUAGAGGGGCACAGUAAACUCCAUUAUAUUUUUACCUUGAAUGGAGAGGCGCAUAGGGUAUCUCCUAGGGUAAAGCUUAGGGUUCACUUCACGCAAAACCACCACUUGAAGGGGAACUCAGCCAACGCCAAGGAACGGCUGUAUUUUUCUCAAACUAAAAAUAUAUUUUAAAUGUAUAAAAAAAUUUUAACAGCCUUGGCAGACUCUGUUGGAUGCCCUGCGCAAGGUAUCACCGAGUAUGGGUUUUGGCACAAGCCAAAGUUUUAAGAAAUUCAUAAGCCAAGUUGAUUACUCGAUUUAUAUGGAUUGAUUUUAUUUGGUUGAAAUGAGUUGAAAGGUAAUGAAAUUACAGUAUGAUGACUUAUUUUAAUUGUCUCCAUUUACUCGACUUUAGAUAGUUUAGAUGGUAUCUAUUUACUCACUAGGAUUUUAUAAUCUCACCACCCUCAUUUCCUCACAUUUUAGGCUCAGGGAAUUCCAUAGUUAGCUAACUUUGACAAGGACCUUCAUUUGGACUCGAAUCGGUAAAAGCUGUAGGUUUCCAACUUCCGAUGCAUUUUGGUUAGAUGUGGGCCCACGUGUCACUAUAAAAGAAAUUUUAUGCUUUGGUUAUUUGCUUUAUAGUAUAUAUGAAUAUAAUUAACUUUUACGCUAUAAGAAUUAUGUACUGAUAGUUUUAUAAAAAUUAUUUUACAAAAAAAUAGUUUAUUUUAUUGAA